rnacentral:rRNA from 1 species
GACGAACGCUGGCGGCGUGCUUAACACAUGCAAGUCGAACGGAAAGGCCUGCUUUCCCUUGUGGAUUGCGGGUGCUCGAGUGGCGAACGGGUGAGUAACACGUGAGUGAUCUGCCCCCAACUUGGGUAUAAGCCUGGGAAACUGGGUCUAAUUCCCGAUAGGACUGCAGGGUGGUGCCUGUGGUGGAAAACGAUUUUCUAGUGGUUGGGGAUGAGCUCGCGGCCUAUCAGCUUGUUGGUGGGGUAAUGGCCUACCAAGGCGGCGACGGGUAGCCGGCCUGAGAGGGUGGACGGCCACAUUGGGACUGAGAUACGGCCCAGACUCCUACGGGAGGCAGCAGGGGGGAAUAUUGCACGAUGGGCGGAAGCCUGAUGCAGCGACGCCGCGUGGGGGAUGACGGCCUUCGGGUUGUAAACUCCUUUCGACCGCGAGGAAGCCACCUGGUUGGAAGGGUGGUGACGGUAGUGGUAGAAGAAGCACCGGCUAACUACGUG